GACGAACGCUGGCGGCGUGCUUAACACAUGCAAGUCGAACGGAAAGGCCCGGCUUUUGUGGGGUGCUCGAGUGGCGAACGGGUGAGUAAAACGUGAGUAACCUGCCCUUGACUUUGGGAUAACUUCAGGAAACUGGGGCUAAUACCGGAUAGGAGCUCCUGCUGCAUGGGGGGGGUUGGAAAGUGUCGGCGGUGGGGGAUGGACUCGCGGCUUAUGAGCUUGUUGGUGGGGUAGUGGCUUACCAAGGCUGUGACGGGUAGCCGGCCUGGGAGGGUGACCGGCCACAUGGGGACUGAGGUACGGCCCAGACGCCUACGGGCGGCAGCAGUGGGGAAUAUUGCGCAAUGGGCGGAAGCCUGAUGCAGCAACGCCGGGUGCGGGAUGCCGGCCUUCGGGUUGUAAACCGCUGUCGACUGUGAUGAGGCGUGCGUGACGGUAAUGGGUAAAGAAGCACCGGCUAACUACGUG
rnacentral:rRNA from 1 species